AUUCACGUGGUUAUUUGUCUGGAUGAAUUUUUACAUCAGAACAGUAAUUUUAAUAGUACGUAGGUCCUCAAAUCGUAGAUUUACGACCUUAGACGUACAAAUUUUCAACGCGUUAAAAAAGUCAAAUUAAUUUAUCGAAACGCCAUUUUGUAUUUGGCAAGGGUGGGAGAACCGAAGACCGAUCGGUCAAGUGCGUAAUGGACGUUGCACAAUCGCGAUACAAACGUUUUCCUUGGUGAAAAAGCAGCUCGUAAUUGUUACAGGAACGAUUUUAGGACGAAAUUCGACGAAUAGAAACCCAACAGGGAAAAAUUGACAGUGUUUAUCUCGUCAGCCAUGAUAGCAUUCGAGGACACCAUUUACGCGCCAAAACAUGUCACCUACCCAACUGUUGAACGCGUGACGGUCAAUGGAUGCAACGAAAUUUUUCAUCAUCAAUUUGUCAAGUUUUCAGGUUGCAACUCCAUAAAAUUGGAUGAUCCUGCGGGGCUCUCUGUCUUCUGGACCUUACAUUGAUCCAUCUUGCGGAGGAUCAACAGAACUAUAGGUUGCAUCGAUCACUCUUCAGGGCUACAAGAAUCGUUAACUCCUACAUUCAGGGAGUGUCUUAAGAGGGAUCAAUGAAACUAUAAACUAGACGAAUUGUAUGGCACUGCUAGAAGGAAUAAUAAUAAAAGAAAUGCGGGUCCUAUUGGUUACAUUGCCAUAGGACCCUCCACCCUCCCACCCUUUUUUGUCCGAUCUCUACUUUUCGUCCACAAGAAGAUGGCACGUGAUAUAGGAAGGAGGCACCAAGGGAUCUUCGUUUGCUCCGCCUGACCCCACUUUUAACGUCUAGUUUGAUCUCCACCCAUAGGUUCUGGAGGCUAUGCCACUGCUUCGAUGUCAUCGUCACCGCAUCGCUCUGUUCCAGUCACACUUGACCGAUUCAUUUGCUUUCUUCGUCAAGCUAUUCGACCAAUUACGAAAAUACUUGGGAUGCGAAGGGAUAUUGGGUAGUGGGACAUAGAUCUCUACAAGUUUUAGCCAUGCCAUCUUCUCGCGGACGAAUAGUAAAAAUGUAGAAAUAGGGCAUUAUACACUAAGGUACAGCCUUGGCUUCCUAAGACCUAUCGCUGUCCCAUUCCACAUUUUCCUCCCCUUGAAAGGCACUGGACCCCAGGAAUGACCAACGAGACUUCCAACCUACCAGGAACCAAACUGAAUCUUUGAACCACCGUAUCGCGGAGUUGAACGAGCAAAGGACGAGUGACGUAACACGUGGUGGCUGAUCGAUCACGUCGGCAUCUGAUCGAUGUUCGGUGCGGCGAUCACAUCGUGGCUGGAAAAAAUCGGGUGAUCGAUGAAGGCGGGAAUAAAAGUCGCGAUAACUGUGGCCUGGAAGGAUAACCGGUGAAAAAGCGAGGCUCGAAAAGCGACGACAAUAAAAGGAGAGCCGGAUAAAUAAUGUAUCCGCGGUAUAAUCUGUGGCGGAGCUCUCCUUUUGUCGUACGAUGCCGAGAAAGGAGCAGUAGGUCAACCGUGGCCAGCUGUUUUUCUCGCUGAUGUGGCCAGCGGGACGGAUAGGAACCCUGACCUCCUCUAAUUCCAUGAAAAACGCGGUCACCUGCGACGUCUCGCUAUGAACGUGAUUACAGAUCACAAAUCUUUGGAAUUUUUCGCUUAUCUCCCUUGGCUAAUCGCCUUCGAGUGAUUCGUGCAACGAAUACAGAGUAUAAUUUUUGAAGAUCAUCAGGUGUAAUUAUAAAUUACACGCUUUGAGGAAAUUGUUCAAACAAUGAUUGUUACUGCCUUAAACGCUCCCAGCAAUUACACACCUAUCGUAAAACGCAACAGCCACGAUUGUAAAGCAUGCAACAAAGUGUCAGUCGUUUCGCGUCAGAAAGAGAACUAAUGCGGAUGAAUUCUGACAUCAUAGAUCAAGACUGUGCCCUGUGAGUACCCAAUGUUCUGCCCCAGGGCAACCGAUAGUGCCUCCUAACGCAAAGGGUACAAAGUGCCUGGGUCUGCUCCACUUGUGCUCCGCUUCGAAAGUACGACGCAUCGCCUCGCUGGAUUUAUGAUCGACCCGUUCCACUUGCGCUUCGCUCGUGGAGGAAACAGUUGCGCGAAAAAAAUGGAUCGAUCGUUCGACGAACGAGCCUCUUGUUGAGAAGCAGAGGAUCCAGGAGGGAAAAACGUGUCAAGAACGGAAAAACGAAAAGCAGACGCAUCUCGAAAGACCUAACAGAGCUGCGGAGUGGAUUAAUUGUCUGGCAUGUUAAUUGAUCGAACUGAAACGUUCGUGGAAAAAGAACGAUCAGGAUUGAACGCCAAAUUCGUAGGGCGACCUCGUGAAAAUAACUGGAAAUAUAAACGCGACCUCAGCAUUCCUCUGUAUUUUUUAGCAGAAGAAUAAUAGUAAAGAUUAAGUUUCCUCGAGGUCUUUAAGUGAAUUCUAAUUGUUUUUUUAUUGUGUAACAUAAAGAAACCAGGUAAGUACAUUUUUAUUGAAUAUUUCUUAAAAUAAGAAUGCGUUCUUGGUCUGUAACACCGUGCGUCCUCGCCGAAGAAUCAAGAAGGGCCUAGGAAGAACCUAAGGAGAUCUUAAGAAGACACACCAAUACGUGACAUUAAUCGUCAAAGCAUUAAGUCAGAAUUUGUUAAAAUGGUAAAAAUAUUUUACUCGAAUCAAUGACUUAAUGCUUUGACUAUGUAAGUUUAUAAUAAUUGUAUCUUCUAUUUAUAAACGUGUUUAAUAAAUUAACUGAUAUUUGAAGAU